rnacentral:rRNA from 1 species
CCUACGGGGUGCUGCAGUGAGGAAUAUUGGUCAAUGGACGAGAGUCUGAACCAGCCAAGUAGCGUGAAGGAUGACUGCCCUAUGGGUUGUAAACUUCUUUUAUAUGGGAAUAAAAUGUUCCACGUGUGGGAUUUUGUAUGUACCAUAUGAAUAAGGAUCGGCUAACUCCGUGCCAGCAGCCGCGGUAAUACGGAGGAUCCGAGCGUUAUCUGGAUUUAUUGGGUUUAAAGGGAGCGUAGGUGGAUUGUUAAGUCAGUUGUGAAAGUUUGCGGCUCAACCGUAAAAUUGCAGUUGAAACUGGCAGUCUUGAGUACAGUAGAGGUGGGCGGAAUUCGUGGUGUAGCGGUGAAAUGCUUAGAUAUCACGAAGAACUCCGAUUGCGAAGGCAGUUCACUGGACUGCAACUGACACUGAGGCUCGAAAGUGUGGGUAUCAAACAGGAUUAGAUACCCUUGUAGUC